UACGGAGGGUGCGGGCGUUGUCCGGAAUCACUGGGCGUAAAGGGCGCGUAGGCGGCCUGAUAAGUAGGGGGUGAAAUCCUGCGGCUUAACCGCAGGGCUGCCUUCUAAACUGUCAGGCUUGAGCACAGUAGAGGCAGGUGGAAUUCCCGGUGUAGCGGUGGAAUGCGUAGAUAUCGGGAGGAACACCAGUGGCGAAGGCGACUACCUGGCCCAUUCUUGACGCUGAGGCGCGAAAGCUAGGGGAGCGAACGGG
rnacentral:rRNA from 1 species